rnacentral:rRNA from 1 species
CACGUAGGAGGCGAGCGUUGUCCGGAAUCAUUGGGCGUAAAGAGCGCGCAGGCGGCUUGGCAAGUCGGGUGUGAAAUCCCGGGGCUCAACCCCGGGACUGCAUUCGAUACUGUCAGGCUAGAGGUAGGUAGGGGAGAUCGGAAUUCCUGGUGUAGCGGUGAAAUGCGCAGAUAUCAGGAGGAACACCGGUGGCGAAGGCGGAUCUCUGGGCCUUACCUGACGCUCAGGCGCGAAAGCCAGGGGAGCAAACGGG